UACGUAGGGUGCAAGCGUUGUCCGGAAUUAUUGGGCGUAAAGAGCUCGUAGGCGGUUUGUCGCGUCUGCUGUGAAAACUCAGGGCUUAACCCUGAGCCUGCAGUGGGUACGGGCAGACUAGAGUGUGGUAGGGGAGAUCGGAAUUCCUGGUGUAGCGGUGGAAUGCGCAGGAUAUCAGGAGGAACACCGGUGGCGAAGGCGGAUCUCUGGGCCGAUACUGACGUGAGGAGCGAAAGCGUGGGGAGCGAACAGG
rnacentral:rRNA from 1 species